UCUUGUCCUUUUCUUCAGCUUUGAUAACUGUCAGGACUACAGCCUCUUCCUUUUUGGAAGUUGAAUCUCCUGUGCUGCUUCACAGAGAAACCCAGUCCUUCCAGUUAGCAAAGUAGGAAAGGGUAAAGGAAAACGGUACCUCUUGGUCAUUUCUAACCUUAAAAAAGUGAGCUGGCAAGUGGACCUGGCCCCCAGAGGGCACUGAGUGAAGACUUGCCCUUGGCCGUAUUGAAUUGGACACACUGGUGCCUUGCCAGCAAGGGGCCAGAAGGGGCUGAUUGGCCGUUCGGGGUGCAGGCAUAGCCGUUUUUCCUGUUGCGUUGUGUUUAUGAAGGGAUUAUGUAAUGCAUGGGCGGAUCUUGGUUUGUCUUUGGCUGGGAAGAGUGGACAAACGCAAGGAUGUCUUUGGGACUUUGAAGAGGAACAAGUGUCGUCUCAAAACCCCGGGACCUUUGAGGGGGUAGCCUGGGGUCAGAACUGAUGAGUCAGCAUACUUUGCCCGUGAUGCCCUCUGUGUCCACCGAGUGUCGGCAGAGAGGGGUGCAAACCCGGAACUGCGCCCGCUGUGGAGUCUCAGCGGGGAAUCCGGAAGUGUCUGGAGUCUUAGGCAAGGUCCCGGAUGAGGUGAAGGCCAACCCAGUCAGAUUCGGGGCUCACCUCCAGGGCUCAUGUGCACCAGCAAGGAGUGUCGGGGCCUGACCGUCGGGCCUCAGUGGGGAGGGUCUCCCUUGGCCAGUGGGUGCCUGUUGUGGGAGCUGCACGAGGGUCGGCAUCCUCUGGCUGGACAGGGAAGGGGCCUCGGGAGCAGAGCGUGUCCACUGGGUUCUCCUGUCGGACAGGAGAGUGGGAAGGAGGAGAGAGAAAACUCAUCCGCUCCCACCCAUGGAGACUGACUAGAUUCGAUUCACGAGUGUGCUGGGGGCGGGGCUUCUGCUGAGCCCACGGAUGUGACUGACCUCGCUGGGCAGGAGGCAAGUGAGGGGUCUUGGAGCCCCUGGCCCUCAGCUCCCGGGAGGUUUCAGCUUCAGCUUCAGCUUCGGCUCAGCUGAAGUUCCUGAGUCGACCUUCCCUCUUGGAAAAACAUCUGUUAAAUAGCUUUUUGGAAAUGUUCUGAUUGGAGUAUUUGAAAUGGCAAUUUAAUUUUUUUGUUGUGGUAACACAUACAUAAAAUGUACCAUUUUAA